rnacentral:rRNA from 1 species
CCUACGGGUGGCAGCAGUGAGGAAUAUUGGUCAAUGGGCGCAAGCCUGAACCAGCCAAGUCGCGUGAGGGAAGACGGUCCUAUGGGUUGUAAACCUCUUUUGUCGGGGGGCAAAAGACGCCACGCGUAGCGUUCCGAGAGUACCCGAAGAAAAAGCAUCGGCUAACUCCGUGCCAGCAGCCGCGGUAAUACGGAGGAUGCGAGCGUUAUCCGGAUUUAUUGGGUUUAAAGGGUGCGCAGGCGGAGGAUCAAGUCAGCGGUAAAAUUUAGGGGCUCAACCUCGUCGAGCCGUUGAAACUGGUGUUCUUGAGUGAGUGAGAAGUAUGCGGAAUGCGUGGUGUAGCGGUGAAAUGCUUAGAUAUCACGCAGAACUCCGAUUGCGAAGGCAGCAUACCGGCGUUCAACUGACGCUCAGGCACGAAAGUGUGGGUAUCGAACAGGAUUAGAUACCCGUGUAGUC